CUCUGUAACAGUGCCUUUAUAGCCUGUCCAGACCACGGCUGCGUUUGCCCAAAGAAGCCAUAGCAAUCUGGUAGAUAAAAGUAGUAUAAAGAAUUGGAGGGUAUAUAUGGCUAUUACUGGGCUCUCCUGGAUGGAGUCAGAACUCCUUAGCUGAGUCAGAAGCCUUAUAAUGGCUAUGGAAGAUUCUCCCUUUCAGUUAAGCAAUAGAAGCAUGGGGUUUUGGUGCAGGAGGAUGUGGAAUCUAUCCCCAGCCUCACAAUCACAGUCUGAGUGGUCAUAUUAUCCAGCAGAGUGGCAACCGAGAAGCCCUAAAUGGCCACAGGUUUGUUACAGUAUUAAAAUGGUUUUGUUUUGGGAGUCGAGGUGUGUAGUGGUCGGAACAGGGGGCAUGGGAGUCAAGAAUCCUCAGAUGUGUUCCAAAAUCAGCAACUUCACACAGUCUGAUCUUGGUUAAGUCACCUGAUCUUACUUUGUCGCAUUCUUCCCCAUCUGUAAAAAUGGGAAUAGUAACAGGUGCACCUUUGUAAAGGAAGUUGAGAUCAUCAGCUGAAAGGCAAGUGUAAAAUAUAGAUACUUAUAUAAAAGCCUGCUACCUUACUGAAUAAAGCCAUCUUCUCUUCGAUGGUAAAUAAUACUGGCCAUACUGUCUUACUACACUGAUCUUAUAGUCAACCAGCUAAAUACUAUACCUGUUCGUAUUAAUUUCAAUGAUCUUGACACUUCUGUGUCACAGUGUUAGAGUUGCUACUCCCUUGUCAGCAGGUAGUAAAUGGGAGGGUGUUGACAGCAGGUAAGGAGCCAAUGCAUUAUAUCCCAGCAGUGCGUUGCGUAUUCUGACUUCUAAAUGCUGAAUGUUUAUAUGUGCCGUGUAUAUUAACAAUUGACUGGGGUUAUUAUCACUGUUCUCAGUUAAUCUAUAUUGCUAAUGUUAUUACAAACUAACUGGUCCUUGCUGUGGUGGUUUAUCCCUCCAGAAAAACUCCCUUGUUUGAUUUAGCACCAAGAAAUCUAAGGGUGUAUCUUUGGUUUUCAUGAAUAUCUGAGACAUACGUGUAUAACAAGGACUCCUCCUAUUGGGGCACCUGGAACUCCCUCCCUCUCAGAAUGAGACAAUAAAAUCAAAGUAAAAAAAUGUAUUCAAUAAAGAUGCCAGAGCACUGGGAGCAUGGAGACCGCUCAGAUCAUCGCAGCACUUAUGAGCACUAUAAACACUGCACGUGUUAUCCAGCAGGAUAUGCAGAACCAUAACCUGCAAGAAAAGCAAAACCAGGCAAGGAGGAGGCAACUGCAGCGCGGUGAUGAGGACCUGGACAUAAACUUCUCACAAAGUACAGGCCCCUGCAAUGUGCACAUCACAGUGUGAGUUGGGCAGGUUCAUGGCGUGGAACGCCGAUUCUGGGCCUGGGAAACAAGCACAGAGUGGUGGGACCUCAUAGUGUUGCAGGUCUGGGCCGAUUCCCAGUGGCCGAGAAACUUUCGCAUGCAUAAGGGCACUUUCAUGGAACUUCGUGACUUGCUUUCCCCUGCCCUGAAGCGCAAGAAUACCAAGAUGAGAGCAGCCCUCACAGUUGAGAAGUGAGUGGCGAUAGCCCUGUGGAAGCUUGCAAUGCCAGACAGCUAUCGGUCAGUCGGGAAUCAAUUUGGAGUGGGCAAAUCUACUCUGGGGGCUGCUGUGAUGCAAGUAGCCAACGCAAUCACUGAGCUGCUGCUAUCAAGGGUAUUGACUCUGGGAAAUGUGUAGGUCAUAGUGGAUGGCUUUGCUGCAAUGGGAUUCCCUGUGGUGGGGCCAUCUACGGAACCCAUAUCCCUAUCUUGGCACUGGAGCACCAAGGCAGCGAGUACCUAAACCGAAAGGGGUACUUUUCAAUAGUGCUGCAAGCACUGGUGGAUCACAAGGGACGUUUCACCAACAUCAACAUGGGAUGGCUGUGAAAGGUACAUGACGCUCGCAUCUUCAGGAACUCUGGUCUUUUUCAACAGUUGCAGCAAGGGACUUACUUUCCAGACCAGAAAAUAACUGUUGGGGAUGUUGAAAUGCCUUCAGUUAUCCUUGGGGACCCAGCCUACCCCUUAAUGCCAUGGCUCAUGAAGCCAUACACAGGCAGCCUGGACAGUAGUCAGGAGCUGUUCAACUACAGGCUGAGCAAGUGCAGAAUGGUGGUAGAAUGUGCAUUUGGACGUUUAAAAGCGCGCUAGCGCAGUUUUCCUGACUCGGUUAGACCUCAGCGAAACCAAUAUUCCCAUUGUUAUUACUGCUUGCUGUGUGCUCCACAAUAUCUGUGAGAGUAAGGGGGAGACGUUUAUGGCGGGGUGGGAGGUUGAGGCAAAUCGCCUGGCUGCUAAUUACGUGCAGCCAGACACCAGGGCGGUUAGAAGAGCACAGGAGGGCGUGGUGCGCAUCAGAGAAGCUUUGAAAACCAGUUUAAUGACUGGCCAGGCUAUGGUGUGAAAGUUCUGUUUGUUUCUCCUUGAUGGAAACCUUCCACCCCCCCCCUCCCCCAGUUUCACUCUACUUUCCUGCCCUCCUCCCUUCGAUCGUCGCUUGCAGAGGCAAUAAAGUCAUUGUUGCUUCACAUUCA